rnacentral:rRNA from 1 species
UGCUUACCAUGCAGUCGACGGUGAAGCCAAGCUUGCUUGGUGGAUCAGUGGCGAACGGGUGAGUAACACGUGAGCAACCUGCCCUGAACUCUGGGAUAAGCGCUGGAAACGGCGUCUAAUACUGGAUAUGAGCUGCGGAGGCAUCUUCGUGGUUGGAAAGAUUUUUCGGUUUGGGAUGGGCUCGCGGCCUAUCAGCUUGUUGGUGAGGUAAUGGCUCACCAAGGCGUCGACGGGUAGCCGGCCUGAGAGGGUGACCGGCCACACUGGGACUGAGACACGGCCCAGACUCCUACGGGAGGCAGCAGUGGGGAAUAUUGCACAAUGGGCGGAAGCCUGAUGCAGCAACGCCGCGUGAGGGAUGACGGCCUUCGGGUUGUAAACCUCUUUUAGCAGGGAAGAAGCGAAAGUGACGGUACCUGCAGAAAAAGCGCCGGCUAACUACGUGCCAGCAGCCGCGGUAAUACGUAGGGCGCAAGCGUUAUCCGGAAUUAUUGGGCGUAAAGAGCUCGUAGGCGGUUUGUCGCGUCUGCUGUGAAAACCCGAGGCUCAACCUCGGGCCUGCAGUGGGUACGGGCAGACUAGAGUGCGGUAGGGGAGAUUGGAAUUCCUGGUGUAGCGGUGGAAUGCGCAGAUAUCAGGAGGAACACCGAUGGCGAAGGCAGAUCUCUGGGCCGUAACUGACGCUGAGGAGCGAAAGGGUGGGGAGCAAACAGGCUUAGAUACCCUGGUAGUCCACCCCGUAAACGUUGGGAACUAGUUGUGGGGUCCAUUCCACGGAUUCCGUGACGCAGCUAACGCAUUAAGUUCCCCGCCUGGGGAGUACGGCCGCAAGGCUAAAACUCAAAGGAAUUGACGGGGACCCGCACAAGCGGCGGAGCAUGCGGAUUAAUUCGAUGCAACGCGAAGAACCUUACCAAGGCUUGACAUACACGAGAACGCUGCAGAAAUGUAGAACUCUUUGGACACUCGUGAACAGGUGGUGCAUGGUUGUCGUCAGCUCGUGUCGUGAGAUGUUGGGUUAAGUCCCGCAACGAGCGCAACCCUCGUUCUAUGUUGCCAGCACGUAAUGGUGGGAACUCAUGGGAUACUGCCGGGGUCAACUCGGAGGAAGGUGGGGAUGACGUCAAAUCAUCAUGCCCCUUAUGUCUUGGGCUUCACGCAUGCUACAAUGGCCGGUACAAAGGGCUGCAAUACCGCGAGGUGGAGCGAAUCCCAAAAAGCCGGUCCCAGUUCGGAUUGAGGUCUGCAACUCGACCUCAUGAAGUCGGAGUCGCUAGUAAUCGCAGAUCAGCAACGCUGCGGUGAAUACGUUCCCGGGUCUUGUACACACCGCCCGUCAAGUCAUGAAAGUCGGUAACACCUGAAGCCGGUGGCCCAACCCUUGUGGAGGGAGCCGUCGAAGAUGAUC